GACGAACGCUGGCGGCGUGCCUAAUACAUGCAAGUCGAGCGAACCACUUCGGUGGUUAGCGGCGGACGGAUGAGUAACACGUGGGCAACCUGCCUGUAAGACUGGGAUAACACCGGGAAACCGAUGCUAAUACCGGAUAAUCCUUUUCCUCUCAUGAGGAAAAGCUGAAAGUCGGUUUCGGCUGACACUUACAGAUGGGCCCGCGGCGCAUUAGCUAGUUGGUGAGGUAACGGCUCACCAAGGCGACGAUGCGUAGCCGACCUGAGAGGGUGAUCGGCCACACUGGGACUGAGACACGGCCCAGACUCCUACGGGAGGCAGCAGUAGGGAAUCUUCCACAAUGGACGAAAGUCUGAUGGAGCAACGCCGCGUGAGCGAUGAAGGCCUUCGGGUCGUAAAGCUCUGUUGUUAGGGAAGAACAAGUACCGGAGUAACUGCCGGUACCUUGACGGUACCUAACCAGAAAGCCACGGCUAACUACGUGC
rnacentral:rRNA from 1 species